UGUUCUUUUAAUGACUGCAGCUUGAUCCUCAUUGGUUGGAUUCUUGUUGCUGGCACAUUUAUACUUUGUGGUAUAUUUCUCUUUCUUCACAAGUUUGGAGAGACCAAAUGCUACUUUAGCAUCUGUGUUACAGUCCCUAAAGUUCAGUUUGAAGAUAGUGUGUUGGAAGCUUUAUUAAUGUCGAUUAAUCUUAGUGGUUUGAAAAACCUUUUAUCAUUGUAAAUGGCUUUGACAUAGUGCCAGCUUAGAUUAUUAAAUUUGUUUAUUAUGAAUAUAUAUUAAAAUUGUGGGUGUUGAAUA